UCCUGGCGGAGGCUACUGCUAUUGGGGUUCGAUUAAGCCAUGCAAGUUGAACGAUUCUUCGGAAUCGUGGCGAACGGCUCAGUAACACGUGGAUAACCUACCCUUAGGACCGGUAUAACCCUGGGAAACUGGGGACAAUCCCGGAUAGGUGAUUUUUUCUGUAAUGAUUUUUCAUUUAAAUGCUCCGGCGCCUGAGGAUGGGUCUGCGGCAGAUUAGGUAGUUGGUAGGGUAAUGGCCUACCAAGCCGGUGAUCUGUACGGGUUGUGAGAGCAAGAGCCCGGAGAUGGAACCUGAGACAAGGUUCCAGGCCCUACGGGGCGCAGCAGGCGCGAAACCUCCGCAAUGCGAGAAAUCGCGACGGGGGGACCCCAAGUGCCACUCUUAACGGGGUGGCUUUUCUUGAGUGUAAAAAGCUUUUGGAAUAAGGGCUGGGCAAGACCGGUGCCAGCCGCCGCGGUAACACCGGCAGCUCUAGUGGUAGCCAUUUUUAUUGGGCCUAAAGCGUUCGUAGCCGGUUUGAUAAGUCUCUGGUGAAAUCCUGUAGCUUAACUGUGGGAAUUGCUGGAGAUACUAUUAGACUUGAGGUCGGGAGAGGUUAGCGGUACUCCCAGGGUAGGGGUGAAAUCCUGUAAUCCUGGGAGGACCACCUGUGGCGAAGGCGGCUAACUGGAACGAACCUGACGGUGAGGGACGAAAGCCAGGGGCGCGAGCCGGAUUAGAUACCCGGGUAGUCCUGGCCGUAAACG
rnacentral:rRNA from 1 species